GUUUGUGGCUCAGUGUUAUUGUGCUUGCCUAGCAUGCAUGAGGCACUGGGUUCAAUCCUCAGCACCACA
rnacentral:tRNA from 1 species